GCCACACCGCUGUGUUUUUGUUGUGGACACUCUAAUAACGGCGGACGGGCCUCUGGCAGUUCCCUCAGUUGUUACUCAUCUCCCCUCAUUCCGUUGUUGAAACUGUGCUACUUGGGUAAAAAAAUGCCCAUGUUUCUGUGAGAUAAAUAAAUCAGGGCAUCAAGAACGACCGUGAGGACCAGACAGAAUCAAGCUUUGAAAAGGGCUCCUUUCCACUUUCUGCUGAAAUAUCGGGUACUGUUCCUGAAGAAGAGGCCAACAAUCGAACUUUAAGGUAUGUUCUAAUAUUUAGAGUAACAUGGUGAUUGUGGUCUUGAGCACUUAGCCUUCCUAUGGACCUAUAGUUACAAACGGAAUCACAGACUCGUCCCCGGUUUCUGACCGCCCAUCACUAUAGCGCUUUGGAGAACACUGGCUGCCCACAAAGAACUGCUUGAGCCUGUGAGGCAGAGUGACUUGCCGAUUUUCACCAGCUGGAAGCCACAGCUCCAGAGGGAGCUCUCAGUGGUUUCUGGGGCAUUUCCUCUAAUCAAAGAUAUCUCCUAAUCUCCCAAGUUUUCAAUUCUGGAAUUGGAUACUCUGAUAGUCAUUGGAAAUCUAAUGCACUGGAGAGACAGACGGAAGCUCUCACAAACUCAGCAAGCAGGAGGAGGAUGUAGCCACGCGCCCCAGAUGAGGAACUCAAAGUUCAGAAGUUUUAGAUGUUGGACCAAAAUGAUAAAGCUAGAAACAAUGAAGGUCAGCUCUCGACUGAGACAUAGCUCUAUCUGAUCAAAGCCAAUGCAACAAUUUCACAUCACCUUCCUGAAGAAGGAAUUAAAGUCUGAGAGAAGUAAAGUGGAAUAUACAGAUGUCUAACAAUGAUGAAAUUGGGACAAAUGCACAUCUUUGCACUGAGGAUGCACAAAGGACUGACCUAUAAAGGAUUCAUCAACCUCAAAGAAGCAGCAUAAUCUCCUCCGUCCAUAGAAACUGUGGCCAAAGGGCUUGAGCAACUGGAGAUCUGAACACUCCUGAGGAACUAAGCAGUGCCAACUGCUGUCACUCAGAGGUCCAGCUACUCCUGUCCACUCACUCAUCCACCCAUUCCAGCAAACAAAAAUACACCGAACACCCAACACAUCCCAGGCGAUGCUACCUAGCUCCACACCCUCAUUUUUGUCCUUUGCUAGAUUCCCCCACACGGAUGUUCUGCAAGUUCCUACAGCUUGGCUUACUCAAAACCAACCUCUGCUUUCAGUGUGCCUUGGAUUUUUAUGGUCAUUCAGGUCACAUGUUUUCAGUAUGCUACUGGAGAGUAAGCUUUCUCGGGUGAGAUGCAUGCCCGAUGCACCUCUGAGUCCUCCAAAGCCUAGAGUCUAAGGACCCAGGCAGGCCGUACGGGCUUUCUUUACUGGACUCAUGACAUUUUUGUGUGAUCAGCGGCUUCACUUUCUCUCUCGUGGACUACCCUGUGAUAUUUUUUAAGAGUGAAUGAAAUGAAAGGGAGGGAAGGAAAAAACAUCUUGUAUUUUCAUCACACUUUAUCUUCCUAAGUGAUUUUCCCAUUUCAUUUGGGGUCAUUAUUUAUUCUCACAUCCACCAGUCCUCUUCCCUCUGCUGGCACGGGCAUUACUAUGAUCUUCCGAUUCCUCUGCCUUCCUUUAAUGUCUGUAAUAUUAGCUGUUAACUCUUGUUGCUUCUACUGCAACUUUGUCCAAAUCUUUUCUGUUCUCUUGGCCAUCAUCUUGCUUCAGGCUCUCUGUCUCUUGCAAAAGCUAUCAUAAAUGGUCUCCAAACUGGGCACCCCACACCAAUUCAUACGGCACGCACUGCUGCCUCAUAAACUUUCCUGAUUCAUGCUCUCAUUCUUUGCUUGAAACCUUCCAAGUUCCCUACGAUCCAUGGAAUUCACUCAGACCUCUCCGCUAGACUUGAAGGCUUUACAUAAUACGCCAUUUACAUUUUGGUUGUUAAAUGUCCCACUGCUGUCCUACUGACACCUUCUCCUCUUCCCUUGUACUCCCCAAUCAAACAGGACUACACACUUUUCAUUAAAUACACCUUGCAUUUUCCAUCUCUGUCACUUCUGCCUGGGCCAGCCUUCCUCAUUCUAUCUUUCGAGGCCGACCACAAACACCAGCUGUUUCGUGAAGUAGGUCCAGACACCCCAACAGACGGGAUGGCUGCCUCCUUUGAUAUUAGCAGCACUUUGCAUUGCCUUCUUGGAAUCAAUCUUGUUUGCUUGAUGCAUUUAAUCCUGUUUUAUUUAUAGUCUUUUGGUAUUUACCUUGUGUACUGCCAUAAAGUACCUUAAGGUAAGGAUCAGUAAUUUCCUUAUUUUGUGUUUUUGGCAGAGUCUAGUACAGAGCCUUGUACCUACAGGCAAUCAAUCAAAUAUCUGUUGGAGCUGAACUGUUCUCUAAACUUUGCUGUAAGCUCUUUGAGGACAGUGACUUUAAGUAUUGCUGUGUCUCUUGAUACAACUAAGGGCCUUAUACAUAACAGGUGAUUGAAACAUAUUUAUUUAAAUAACUUCCCAGUUCCAGAGCAAGAUUUUUCAAAAUACAUGUAAUACUGGCAUUAACCUAAAAUAUUCACUUAGAAAUCUCUCACCAAUUAACACAAAAGAAGAAGGAAAGAAACACUGACCUUAACAUUCUUUUCCUUUAGUUUUAUAUGAUAAUGCCUAACUCGUACUAGGUGCUUAUCAUGUGCCAGACUUUGUACUCCGAGCCCUACAAUGCCCAUCUCAUGUAGUCCUCACCCCCCAGCACCACGAGGCCCUGCCUUUCCCCCACUUAUGGGCAAAAGGUGCAGGGAAGUGAAGUGACUUGACCCCACACUGAGCAAAUGGCAGAGCUGAGAUUUGAACUCAGGCAGUUUCUGCCUCCAGAGCCCAUGGUUGUCACCAUCAUGGCACCCUAUCUAGACUGAGUUUACUGAGCCCCUUAAUUUUAACAGUCUGAGUUAAAAGAAAAAAGAAAGCUUCUAAAAAUAGUAAAAACAAGAACUUCUUGUCUUUUAGAUUAUUUUAAUGGACGGAAAAAUAAAGAAUUGUUACAUCUCUUUCAUCUACCUCAAUGUAAGCCUCAAAUUUAAGAGACAUAUUUGUUUUUUCUCAAACAACACGCCAGGUCCAUACUCGACUAUGCAUCCCAAAGGACAGAAGAGAUGACAAAGAUAACAUACUAGCAGACUACUGAAUAAUCAUUUAAUUUUGGAAAGCGAUCUAGAAAGCUCAGAAUCAAAGAAAACCACUUACUCCCCCUUCUCCAUGCAAGUCUUUUUACACACUCAAAAACUCUUGUUGGUGGUCUGGACUCUGAUUGGUUGGCAGACAAGGGAUGUGAGUGUUGUCACAGAUAGUCUACAAGUUAAAAAAAAAAAAAACAAAAAAAACAAACCCAGAAAUGUCUCUCUUUUUGAAUUUUCAUUCAGUCUGCAUAGAAAAGCACUUGUGCCAAUUCUGGCCAAGUGCUGGAAAAGAAUAUAUUAGCACCAAGCAGCUGAGAGACUGCGAAACUGGAGAGAAGGAAAAAGUAACGGCUGUAAAUACGAUGAGGGCACAUUGAGGGAAAAGUCGCACACUGUAAGAUAGAAGUCGUUGCUUCCCUUAGGGUUUCGGAGAUACAAGUAUGCUAAUCAGGGAUGGACUCCAGUGUUAGAUCCAAGGAACACCACUGCCAGCCCGAUCAUCAGUGUCUCUUCAACCUCCAAUGGAAAUAUUAAAGAUGAGAUUUAUUAACUCUAGCUGAAAUUAUAUGAAGCAAGGACAAAGUCUGAUCUUUAGUAAAAUGAAGUAGAAAAAUACCAGUUGAUGCUUCAACUCCUUGGGUCAUUUCUUUAGCUGCUCAAAGUUAGAAAAAAUGAAUAUAAAAAGUCAGAUCACAGUAACUUCCACUAUUAAUCGUAGCUACUGUUUUCUAGAUCUAAGUGCUAAUGUUAAAAACAGACCAUAUGUAUGAUGAA